rnacentral:rRNA from 1 species
AACGAACGCUGGCGGCAUGCCUAACACAUGCAAGUCGAACGAGAUCUUCGGGUCUAGUGGCGCACGGGUGCGUAACGCGUGGGAAUCUGCCCUUUGGUUCGGAAUAACAGUUGGAAACGACUGCUAAUACCGGAUGAUGACGAAAGUCCAAAGAUUUAUCGCCAGAGGAUGAGCCCGCGUAGGAUUAGCUAGUUGGUGUGGUAAAGGCGCACCAAGGCGACGAUCCUUAGCUGGGCUGAGAGGAUGAUCAGCCACACUGGGACUGAGACACGGCCCAGACUCCUACGGGAGGCAGCAGUGGGGAAUAUAGGACAAUGGGCGAAAGCCUGAUGCAGCAAUGCCGCGUGAGUAAUGAAGGCCUUAGGGUUGUAAAGCUCUUUUACCCGGGAUGAUAAUGACAGUACCGGGAGAAUAAGCUCCGGCUAACUCCGUGCCAGCAGCCGCCGUAA